CUCUUUCAGCUUCAUAACACCAACGAGUGUCCCUUCUGUUCUAUUCCCAGAUUGUUUUUGGAAACGUGGAGUACCAUCAGGCUGGGACAGACUGCACAGACCACUGCCUGCACGCCCUUUCAGCCUGGCUGUGAGGUGAGACCACAGCACUGAGCCACUCUACAACUAUGAUUUUCCAGCCACUCUUGAAAACCACCUGUAAUAAUUCAGUUUAGACCGCACUGUCCUUGCUUUGAAAAAUCAAGUGGAAAAAAACAAACCUGGGAAAUGAGCAUUUCACUCUGAGGAGAAACACGGCUGUGAAGGGCAGAUCUGCCUCCGGGUUUCGGCAGGCUAUUCUCCAGCCAUCUUCCAUUCAUGCUUCAGACAUCGCUGGGAACAAGAGCUAAAUAGUUCCUGGGCUGUUUCAUAACGGAGAAACGAGCCUCUGUGAGAGUGUUUGCCAGUAUAUUGCUCUUCUUGACUCAGUUCCUCGUGCUCCCUCUGUUUGUUCGCCAUCAUAAUGGCUGUUGCAGUUUCUCCUUGCCGUGGACCUUCUUCUUCCUUUCACUGUGAUGAUGGAGUGGAGCCUUCCCCUUCAGGACAUAAAUUUUUGCAUUGGGAGGAAAUCUACAGAUACCUGGAGCUAUAAUGCAACAGCAACGUGUAUACUGCAUUUCAUGAGUGCCUGUGACACAAAAACAAGCUUUCAUCUGUGUCUUCCUCCUGCUGCCUCCAAGACUGCAGUCCUCACCCAGGCUCGUGGCAAGCACCCAACCAGACUUGCUACCUGCCCUCCCUUCCUUUCCUCAAUCCGUAUACUAAUGAACAGAGCAAUAAAUUCAUCACUUUUUAC
rnacentral:lncRNA from 7 species